rnacentral:ncRNA from 2 species
AGAGUAAAAUAGUACGUGAAAUUGUUGAAAGGGAAACGAUUGAAGUCAGUCGUACCGACGGAAAAUCAGCUCUUCGAGUGCGAACUUGUGGGCGUACGUGAGCUUUAACCGGCCUCGUUGUUUGCGAUGUUUGUGCUUUUUGGGUGUAUUUUUUCGUAUGGUUGGCCAACGUCAGUCUCGGUUACCAUAAAAUGAUCGGAGGAAUGUAGUUUCGAUCUUGUAUUGAAGUGUUAUAGCCUCUGGUAGAUGUGGUAAACGAAACUGAGGAUUGCAACGAAUACCCUUCGGGCUAUCCGUCUGACCUCUGAAAGUUGCUUGGGUGCCGAAAGCUUGCUUACGGUCAUCCAUGACGACGGUCAAAAGGUUAGAACGUGAUUACAUUCGUUAAGGACGUUGGCGUAAUGGCUUUAAACGACC